rnacentral:rRNA from 1 species
CCUACGGGAGGCAGCAGUGAGGAAUAUUGGUCAAUGGACGAGAGUCUGAACCAGUCAAGUAGCGUGAAGGAUGACUGCCCUAUGGGUUGUAAACUUCUUUUAUAAAGGAAUAAAACGAGGCACGUGUGCCUUUUUGCAUGUACUUUAUGAAUAAGGAUCGGCUAACUCCGUGCCAGCAGCCGCGGUAAUACGGAGGAUCCGAGCGUUAUCCGGAUGUAUUGGGUUUAAAGGGGGAGUAGAUGGGUUGUUAAGUCAGUUGUGAAAGUUUGCGGCUCAACCGUAAAAUUGCAAUUGAUACUGGCAGUCUUGAGUACAGUUGAGGUAGGCGGAAUUCGUGGUGUAGCGGUGAAAUGCUUAGAUAUCACGAAGAACCCCGAUUGCGAAGGCAGCUUACUAAACUGUGACUGACAUUGAUGCUCGAAAGUGUGGGUAUCAAACAGGAUUAGAUACCCCUGUAGUC